GUCUACAGCCAUGCCACCCUGAACAUGCCCGAUCUCGUCUGAUCUCGGAAGCUAAGUAGGGUCUGGCCUGUUUAGUACUUGGAUGGGAGACCACCAAGGAAGACUAGGUGCUCUAGGCA
rnacentral:rRNA from 1 species